UACGUAGGUGGCAAGCGUUGUCCGGAAUUAUUGGGCGUAAAGCGCGCGCAGGCGGUCUUUUAAGUCUGAUGUGAAAGCCCACGGCUCAACCGUGGAGGGUCAUUGGAAACUGGGAGACUUGAGUGCAGAAGAGAAGAGUGGAAUUCCACGUGUAGCGGUGAAAUGCGUAGAGAUGUGGAGGAACACCAGUGGCGAAGGCGACUCUGUGGUCUGUAACUGACGCUGAGGCGCGAAAGCGUGGGGAGCAAACAGG
rnacentral:rRNA from 1 species